UCUCAACCACAGUGAUUUCUUUUUUAAAAAAGUGUAUUUUUAAAGUGAAGGGAACCAGGUUUGCUAAAGUAAUUGUGAUGAUAGAAAAGUAUUAGCCUCAGAAGCUACUGAGGUGGUUCAUUCUAUCCUAGUACAGUG